AUUUUUCUAGAUUUGAACUGUAGAAGGUCUCUUAAAAUUCUCUCUCUUCUUCUCUUUCCUGCUCAAUCUCUCUCUCUCUCUCUCUCUCUCUCUCUCUCUCUCUCUCUCGCUCUCGCACAUCCACGGAUUACUGUGCUGUCUGCCACUCGCCGGAGCCCCCACCGGCGACGCUAUAACAGCAACAACUCUCUCUGGCCUUCCUCCUCUCCCAUCAUGGUCGCUCGGCGCCUCAGCGAGCACCCAACCACCCUAUCCAGCGACCUUUUCCCGCGACUGCAAAACACUGGCAACUACGUCGAUGUUGAUUCCAGCCGGCACCUCAACCUUGAUCGAUGCUCCAGCGCCCACCUUAGUUGAUCCGACCACUGCCUCCUAGAAGAGUUCCCGAUCCUUUGGUGGUCGGGCCUUGGCCGGACAACCAUCGUACAAGCUCCAGUGACUUGAUCUUCCUCCAACGUUGCAAACCGAUAUGAACUCAAUCGGUUCUUCCUUGAUUGCAAAUCGACAGUUCGACUGGCGAGGAUCCGACUUCUGGCGAUCCACGAGAUCCAUCUGACAAUCCUCGAGGUUCGUAAGGUGAUUUGGAGUUUUGAUUCUCGAUCGUUCGUGUUCCAUUGUCGAAAUCGCAGAAGGUAAUAAAUCGAAUUUUGAAUCCAAUGAAGCGAGAUUAAAAUAGUCAAUUGGGGCUAGGAUUCAAACUUAGGAUCAUAUUUCAUGCUUAGAUCCGAAAAUUUGGAUGUUGUAUGAUGAUAUGUGAUGAGAUUAUGUUGAUUGAGGAUGAGUUUAAGUAUAAUUGUUCAUGAUUUACCUCGUUUUGCAAAAAUUGCAUGUUGAUAAGUGACCAUGUCAAGGCUGAUUUGAGAUGUUAAACCUCGUUAUUUGGCCUCGAGCUGUUUUAGAUGUAUGAUUUAUAUUUGACAAGCUUUGAUUUGAUAGAUUAUAAACCCCAAAUGGAGAUCGCUUGAUACCUGAAUUACGCCUCAAAAUUUGGUUUGUGCAAUAUUUUGCUGUUCCGACUUCUAUAGAUUUCUAUGUUGAUUUUGGAAAUAGUUUCUUCAUGAAAGUUGUAUGAAUAUCUCUUGAUUAUAUCAUAUCUUUUUUUCAGAAUUUGUGAGUUGUUUUGGUUAGGCAAAACCUUAAAAAAAUCUUCCCUAGGUCAUUUUGUCUUGGUUUGAGUUCAACCUAUAUUUGCCUUGAAAUGAGGUCUUAAAUGUGUUCAUUUGAAUUGACAUCCUUCAUGAAAUUUGUAGUAUGCAUUACAAGUUUUUUGACUGGUAUGAUUUGCGUCAAAUGAUCAUCAUUUACUAGGUCAAUCGCACAUGUGAAGACAUGCUCAUGCUAUUGCAUUUUAUGAAGUGGAUUGCAUUGUUCUAUUUUGCCAUUUUUGUGGGGGAUUGUGUGAAUCAAAUUAGACUUAGGUGUUUAAUGGAAUUAACCGUGACAUUGCAUUCUAUAUCUAGAAUUUUUCAUAAGAUUUUAGCAUGUCGUUAAAUCAUUGAAAAUGACUCAUGUUUUGCGAUAUCUUUAUUGUGAUAAAAAGUUGAUCACGAACCUAUGAAAAUGUCCUUAUUUAACAUAUCAUAACUGAAAAUUUCCUUAAUGACAAAUCACCUUUUAAUGUUAAUAAAUUCACAUGACUUUUUGCACUUCGAUUUAGAGUUAAAUGUCUUCACCAAAUUUGAUCAUCACAUUAGCUCUGGGAUGUGUGUGAAUUUUAUAUUUUUAUGCAUUGUUUAGGUGGCUUGACAAGCCAAUCAUCAUGCAUCAUUUUCUGAUUUGUUCAUGGCUGAUUUGCACACUUAUGCGAUUGUCACUUUUCAACCAUAAAUUCGACCUUAAUCGGACUCAACACCCCUUAAAAAGUCUCAGGACACAUCUUAAUCCUUCCGAUGACACCAAUUUUGUAUUAUUUGUAUAUCAUUUAACCCAUUUUCUAUUUUUGCCAAGUUUAUUUAGAAAUUUGUUUCUAGUGAAAUUCGAAAUGCCCAUUUUGCUUUAGUUGAGUUAGACCUCUUGUUAUUUUUGCAUCUUUUUCUCGUUAAGGAUUCUAAGAUCGGGUCCUUAACAAAAUUUGUUUGUCUUUCUCUUUUAUAUGUUGUGAUGAAAGUUUAGAUUUUUCAAAUUUUGUUUACAAGGGAAAAUCAUUAUUGAUCAGCCAUGAUACCUUGCUGUCUUGUUACAUUUAUGAUGUUGUGCUGUGUGUUCUUGAAUUUUUAUAAAUUCCUUAAUAGCUCAUCUAAGAAAACUCUCUUCACGAAAAUUGUUCCUUGUGACGUUAUUGAUGUUAUGCAAUUUUCUAGGAGACGAUUAUCAAUGAGUUCCUUUUCGAUUGUUCUGAUCUUAUCUACCCUGUUCUAUGAUCUUUGCUGUGAUUCUCUGCUGUGAUUUUCUUUUACAAUGUUUUAGGACAUUUCGCAUGCUGAAUCAAAUUCACAUGUCCUCACAAGAUUUGAUCCUUACCUUCCGAACUUCGUACACGAAAAUUCUUGAAAAAUAAAAAGUACUUUACCAUGCUUUUCAUACGUUUUGAAUGUUGUGAAAUCAAUCUGAAUUUUCAUAUUCUUGUUGAUUUGCACUUGGUUUUCGUUCAAAUGAUGCUUAUGCAUAAAAUUUUCAAAACUUCAUGUUGUGCUUUGCAUUUUAAAUUUCCAAAUCAUGUUUUGGCUUGGCAAUGAUGUUAUCUAGGUUUGGACUAUAUUUACGACUUCUUCGAAGCUCGAUCAAAGUGCACAGGAUGCGCUCAAGUUAGCUUUGAGAUUUAAUGUGUUCCAUAGCCGUGAUGCAACUUUGCUAUGCCAUUAACAAAUUUUCCUUACAAUUUCACUAUCUAAUUUUUCUUUAAUGAUUUUUUAGCAUCAUUUGAAGUUCCCUUAGUUUUUGAUGUGUUUACUCUAGUCAAAUGCCUAUAAUUGUAUUUGCUAUUGGUUGAAUGAAUGAAUGAUCUAGUGUCUCACUGAAAUUACUUGAUUGAUUGAAAACCAAGGCCUGAGAGCCUACCUGCAUGUUUACUUUUAAAUAUGCAUAUGAUUUUUAAUUGUAUGCACGAGUGCGAUACAUGAACCCGUGGGAUAUCCUCGGGACACACUUAGAACUUGUUUUAGGGGCUUUUUAGCGCUUGUUGCCACGUGAGAAUGCAUAUGGUGAUCAAUAACUAUAAGUCAUAAAAAAUGAAUUGGGGUAAAUGUCCCAAAGGAAUUAUCGUAUGAAUUGCAAAGGUCGACCCCAAUGCCAAUUUUGAUCAAUUUUGCAUAUUGUUUUAAUUCCAUGAUUGUUCUUGUUUGUUUUGUGAUUGUGAUUGUUUUUGUAUGUUUGUAAUGUUGAUUGUUUCUUUCAUCUUGUAUGUACCUAGUCUUAGCAUUAGAUUAGGCUUAGAAUAGGUCCAUGGAGGUGGUGGCCCCUAAGAUGUGAAGAUGAUAAAUGGUCGAUGUCUAAUCGAACCUUGUUAUUGUACCACUUGUUUCCCGAUAUAUGCUUGAGGUUGUCUCGUGUUGUAUAAAUACCCGACAAGAGGUGGGUUUGUUUCUUUGGAUUUACUUUUUGUUUAGGCUUGCAUGUUAAAUUUACUACUUUCCUUAAACUGCUUUCUUGGGUGUUUACUUCAACACCGUCUUUAGAUUCCAAAUUGAUUGUUUUCUUUCUUUUUCUUUUGAUAGAAAUACAAUUGCAUUAAAUUGACUCUCCAUGCAUGAUCACCUAGUUAGUUUCAUUGGCAUGAAAAAGUUUUUUUAAAAAAAAAAAGUAUGCAUAGACACCUUAGAAAACAUAACAAACUAUCAGGUACCGAAGAUUAUAUAAAUAUUAACGUAACCUAAGUUCAUGAACCUGAAAAUUUCUAGUUGCAUAGAUUUUGACGGACCACUCCUAACCCUCAUUUGGGUUUUCUAGCUUACUCCCAAAAAUGAGGCUAGUGGCAACUCCUAACUCUUAGCUAGGUUGUCUUAAUCAACUCAUAGAUAAUAAAUGAAUCCGUCAUGAGGGAUAUGGAUUUCGACAAGAUUCAUCGUAGUUUAGCAUACCCAAUAUGGAAAUCUCCUAAAAGAUGAAGUAAUGCCAUCCUUGUUGAUGAGAGUACUAUUGGGGGGCUACUACAGUAACAAAACUCCUAAAUUCGAUAUUCACACCCGAUCUCAUUUUUCAAGGUGUAUCAUUCGUGUGGAUACGAAUCAUGACAACUUCCGUUAUCAUGCGAGGUAUGAGCUUGAGAGAGCUCACAACUAUGAUCAAGCAACUCACAAUAGUCAAUCUUGAAAGAUGAAGUGAUAACAUCUUUUGGGACGCAUACCAAUGAGGGAGCUCUUAUGGUCAAGUACCUCUAAACUCGACUUUUCUCCCUUGGGAGACAAAGGGGUUGGGUCAUGACCAUUAUUAAUUGAGUUGAAUAUUCAAAUAUCUUAAAUAGAAAGAUUGUUUUGAAUAAGAAAUUAGAGAGAACUUGAAUUAUAUUUCAAUAUGGUGUUAAAUAGGUGUUUAACAAAUGAAAGAUUGCAUGCAUAGUAACAAUUGAAUUAUUGCAUAGAUCACAUCCAUGUUAUGUUGAAAUGCUUGUUAAGAGGUGAUGGUAAAAUCUCAUAUAAGAGAUUUGUUAUAAUUUAAAAUAAUUGAUAUAUACUAGUUCACUAUAAAAUAUUGGUUCAAGUUUUAAGUGAAUGUAAAUCUAGUUCGAUAUAUUGAUGGAUUUAGACUUGGGUUUUGUCCUAGUAAUUUCCUCAUAUGAAGAUGUUGGACUUGUUUGACAAAAUGACAAUAUUUUUCAAUUUUGAGCUGAAACCUAAGAAUGAAUGUCCUUUGGAAAGGAAAACCUAUUUUAAUAUUCCAAAAUAGACAUGCACUAUUGGAGCGCUAGUGACUUGGGCACGAACAACUAGGGAAUGUGGCACAAGCACUAGGUCCUCGGCACAGCCUUUAUAGACCCAAACACGGGUACCAAGGACUCAACACGAGUACCAUGGUCUCAAGUAGAAGAACCAUGGUCCUGGGUCUAUGAAAGUUGAGCUUAAGACCUUAGUACCCUUACUCGAUUCCCUAACGCUUGUGCCUAGUUCUCCAAUGCUCAAGUCUUGAUCCAUGGAGGCCAUGCGCAAGGCCACAAAGAUGGAACUUAAGACUAGUGCUUGCACCAAGUGCUCAACAGCUAGGCCCGCAUCCAUCAUGGCAAAGCCUAGAUUCAUGGAGGCUGUGGUUGAUACCUCAACAUUGAGGCUCAAGUGCAUCGAGGUUGGGCCCAUGAUCCUGUGGCCUGCACCUUGAUCUCAAUGCUUGGGCUCAGGUCCAUUGAGGCCAAGCCCGAGACCCUAAGAGUGCUCCAUGCUCAAGAUCAAUGAACCUAAGCUAGGACCUCACCUUUAAAGACCUUGGUUUGGGCUAGGAGCUCAGCUAUAGGGAUCGUAAACCUAAUGUUGAUGGACCUAGGUUUGAUUGUUGACUUCUAUGGACUUGGGCUUGGGCACUUGGUACCCAAGCAUGGCACCAACAUACCAAAUCUAGCCAUAAUGGAAUUGGGCUCUACUUUGAUGGACUUGGGCUCGGGAUGUCUUGGGCACAGUAUCGACAUCUCGAGCCCAACCUUUGUGGACCUAGGAAUGAUCGCUAGGGUCUUGGGUCUCUCGAUGGACUAGGGUCUCAAGCACAAGCACUAGGGUCUAGUCAAUGAGGUCUAGGCCUGACAACUUUAAAGCUCAGCCUUUAUGGACUUAAGCCUAGGCAUUAAGGACUUGGGCUCGACCCCUAUGGACCUAGACACGAGCAUCAAUGUCUUGAGCUUUACCUUUAUAGACCUAGGCUUAGGCGUCAGGGUCCUAAGUUAGGCCUCUAAUGACUUAAGCCCAAUAGUCAAGCGACUCAGCAUAGGCACCAUGGUCCUAGGCCUGGCUUCUUUGGAUUGUAGCUAGGCUCAAUGGACCUGACUUUGGCCUCUAGACUUGAAAAUAAGCAUUGGUGUUAAUACCUAAUUUUAGUUGAUGCAUCAAUGUAGAAAACUCAAGAUUAGAGUUUAUGAUCGCGAUGAAGCCUGUUUCUUGGAUAAAAAGUGACAUUUUUCGUUUUUUUUCUUUUGUCUUGUCAUUUUUUAGCAAUUUCCCAUUCAUUUUUUUUAUCAAAAACUAGAGAGGUUAAAUGGUUGGUUUUUGAGUUGACUUUUUGGUCAAUCCUUUGAUCAAAAGUCGAACCCAAGUCAAAAGUUGACUUUUUGCAUAAAAGAUUCUUUUAGUCCUAACAAAAUUGGAGUUACAUUAGUUUUCAAAAAUUUCAAAGAUUUGAUCAUAAAAUCAGCAUUUAAGAAAUGUCAACUACUUUUGGUUAAACCUUUGACAAAAAAAAUAGAAAAACACAAAAAUCCAUGAAUCAAUUUGUUUUUAUCCCAAUUUGACUUAAGCAUCAAGAUUUUUGCGAAAAUUGAUUAAGAAACUUGUUUUCUGAAUUUUUCAGUUUUGGGUUUAAAAUCGACCAAAAAUAAAAUUACUUUCAUUCCAGUUAUAAUUAAGCUUAAUUCCUUUUACGACAUUUAAUAUAUAGAUCAUUACCCAUUCACUCAUGCAAUCAAUUUUGAGAUCAGGCACGUCGAAAUAUGGAUUCUCACUUUUAGCCCUAAUUAGGGGGUUCAAAUAGAUUUUACAUGAUUUAUGAUUUGCGAAUGUACGCUUCCAUUCCAUUCGUUUUUAUGAGAUAAGUACGAGUUCGAGAUCAAUUUUGAGGAGUUCUUUUGAGAACUUCUCAAUAUAUGAGGGAUUUAGCCUUCUUAGACAUAAGAAAUUCAAGCUAAUUAACUCAAGUUGACCUAUUUGAGACUAAGAUUUAAUUUUGAGAAUUAAGACUCAAUUUUACCAUUAAACCUCUAUUCAAUAUUAUCAUAAAAGUCGCACAAUCAAUUUAAAGUCAAUUUGGAUAUAAUGAGUCACCCUAGGUAUUGAGCAAUUGGUCUAAUAGGUGUUUUGCAAUUUUAAUUGAAUUCAAGUUCAAUUGAUUUACAAUUUGGAGCAAAAAAUUAGAAAAAAAUUGUCUAACUUAGCCUGGAAAAUCCAAUCAUAUGUACCCAUGGUGUAAGUCCAAUAUUAUUCAUGUUAAUGAAGUAAUCAAGCCAAUGGAAAAUUACAAGAUUGCGUUUAUAUGUUUUAAUUGGCCUAAUUUUCAUCAAAAUUAGACCGUUUCUCUUUAAAUUGAAACGUCAUUCCUCAAAUUAGACAAGAUUUCCUUUCAAUUUAGCCCUUGAAGGAUAGACUGAAUUACAUAGAAUUUAGAAACCCAAUGAUCGAACUGCCCGAAAGACUGAACUGGCUGAACUAGUGUGAACUGGUUCGAUUGAUUCAACCGACCAUUGCUAGAGGUGACCGUUUUGGCCCUCCUCAAUAGGCUUUUGAUGGCCGGCAACUGCCCUUAGGUGUCCCGCCAUGUGUAUUUCUUCCUCAUGCUGUUUAAUUUUUCAUAUUUUUUAGAAAUGCACUAGGGUUUGGUGAAAUUAUGAAAUUGCCCAUAAUGAGGCCUUAAUCACAAAUUCAAUCUAGAUUUCCAAUUUCAACACAUCACUAUCAUCUGGAUGAUCACAUGUUUAAAUAGAUUAAUUAGGCUUUAGGAUCAGAUCUUAGCCCUUGGAUCAAACCGAUAGCUAAGAUUUAACCUUGAGGGAUGUCAUAUAUACCAUUUUCCCUCCAAAACUUGGGAGGCUCAUCUGUGCAUUUUUCCAGAUCUUGAAAUAUCUUUCUCUCGCUCUCUUGAAUCCUCUCUCUACCCCCUUCAUUAGCCAUUGUUACACGCUGGAGCCCCCAUUAAUGACGCUUUACCUUCAGUAACCUCCUUCAGCCUCCCUCCUUUGUCACUGUGGUCGUCCAACGCCCCAAAGAUAGCUUUCCAUCCAGCCUCUUCUUCUCGUGGUCCUCCUCAUUAGCAUCCAAGUAGGGGGUGAUUCUAUCGAGUUCAGCAGCUCCGAUCGACGGUCUGAUGCCCCUCCUUGACAAUUUGACUCUCGUCGAUCACUCCUCAAGUGUGCCCCCAACCCUCCAAUGGUCGGGGCUUCAUUGGAAAGCCAUUGGAGGAGCUUCAGUGGCCUGUUUCUCCAGGUUGGUGCAGAUCAGGGUCUAGCCAGAAUUGAACCUUUUUAGCCGCUAAUUGGUGGCUGUUUUGGCAAUGAUCUGACCCAUCUAGGCGACACUCAAGCCCUUAGGAGUCCCGUCAACAAUCAUAGCUUGCUGCAGUGGUCCGAUUUUUUUUUUUUAUUUGAGUUCAGUUUGUCAAAAAUUGCACAAAGGUAAUCAUUUAUUCCCAAGCUCAAAGAAGUGAGGUCUCAUUCGUUGACAAGGGCUAGAGCUCACACUUAGGACUAAUUUGAUGAUGAUUAUGCCUAUUAUAGGAUGUUUAGGAUGAUUUAGAAUGGAUGUGGAUGAUUGACGAUGGCUUGAAUAUGGCUAAUUGCUUGAUUGAGUUUGUUCUACAAUUUUCGGAUGCUAAGAUGAUUGAUCUAAGAAAUGACUUGAUAUCAACUUGUAAAAGUAGUUUUCAGUGUUCAAAGUCUUCAUAAAAGUUGAAGACAGUUCGAAUACUUUCGAAAGAGCCAUAGAACGACCCCAUCGGGUCUUGUUUGAUAUGGUUUUCGCAAACUCAAAAUCAAGUCUAGAAUCUAUCAUAUGGUUGCUGAUAUGUUGAGUUACGGUCUACGCUAUUUGUCGAUUUUUUGCUGAUUUUUAUGCUUUGAUUUUGAGGUUGAUUCCUUCAUGAAAGUUUCUCAAAAUUGUCUUGAUUAUGACAGAUUCUUUUUUCAGAUUUUUUUUGGAAUAGAUCUGAUUAGGAAAAUCCUCAAACAAUUGUCCACAUGUUGAUUUGUCCUAUUUGAGCCCGAUGAAUGUUUGCUUAGAAAGGAGCUAGUAGACUUGCUUAAUCGGAUUUUCAUCCUUCAUGAAAGUCGUGGUAUAUUUCAUAAGCUUUCCGACAAGAUAUAGAUUGCAAAUCUAUGAUGUUAGAUGUUUUGCCCUGUUAUUAUACCGAGGAAGAUCAUUACUGUAUUGUGCAAACCCUGCUGCAUUUAUGACUGGUUGUGUCUCUAUGAAAAUGUCUUCGAUUGAGCUCCUUAAGAGCAUAUUGAUGCGUGAUGUCUUCUAGACAUAUUUAGAAAAUAUUAUAAGUUUCGAAACAAUGUAUGACACACAUCAUUUGAAGGUAAUUUGCUAUAUGAAAUCCACUUGCCAAGUUGAUACAUUACUUCUGAAAAUUUCAUAUAUUCUGUCAUGCAUGCUUCUUAGUGAUAAACUACAAAUUUCUCCGUCCCAUUUAGCCCUAUGUCAUGUUUGAAUGUCAAAAUUUUCAUACAUCAUUUUGGUGAUUUAGCAAGCUUGUUCUCAUGUAUCACGUUCUGCCAUAUUUAUCGUUGAUUUGCACACUUCUGUAAAUGUCAUCACUUGAGCAUGAACUUAACCUUAAUCAAACUUGAUAUCUCAUAGAAAAUCUUAAUGCAUAUCUUAAACUUUCUAACGACACCAACUUUGCCUAAUUUGCGUAUCAUUUGAUUCAUUUUCCAUUUUUGUGAAGUUUGCUCCAAAAUCUACCAUGAUCGAAAUUCGGAAUGCUUGUUCUGCCUUUAUUGAGUUAGAUCCUUUGACAUUUCUGUGUGAAUUUUUUAGUAAAGAUUAUGAGGUCGAGCUUAUAAUGGAAUUUGUUUGUUAUCUAUAUGUCUAUGUUGUGAUGAAUUUUCAGAAUUUUUAGACAAGGGUUAAUGGUUCAAAUUGCCAUUGCUUUAUCAUGAUGUUCUACUACCCUAUUCUAUUCUUGAUGUAUUGUUUUGUGUUCUUGGAUUUUUAUAAAUUUAUGUGUAGUUUAUCUUAGAAAACUUACUUCGGGGAAAUUUUCCUAAUUUCUUUUUUGAUGUGUUGUAAUUUUCUUAGGAACAAUUAUCCGCGGGUCCUACUCCAAUUGCUUUGAUCUUGAUUGCCCUAAUGGAUGUUUACUAUUAUAAUUCUUUGCUGCAAUUUUGUUCUAGGAUUUUUUAAAAUGUCUUACAUGCUGAAUUGGGAUUAGGUAUCUUCACAAGUUUUGAUCCAUGUUCCAAUCUUCAUACACAAGAAUUCUUAAAAGAUUAUAUAUAUUAAUGUAAAGAUUGAAGGCAAUAUAUAAGAUAUAAAAUAAGAGUAUGCAUAAACAAAAACCAACCAUGAAGGUAGUAUGAACUUGUAUUAUAUAAAGCUGAAAAGCUGAAAAGCUUAAAUUACAUGUAUUGAAAGAUGCAGAAACUAAAGCAUCAAGUCAUCUACUAGGGUGGUAAUCCGCACUCCAGGGAGUAUUGAUGUUUGUAUUACAAUUGAAACCAGGGGAUACAAGGUAAGAGAGCUUGGAGAUGGAAGAGAUGGGGUUGGAGAUGGAAGGGAUGAUGGUUUACAAGUUACAAGGUAAGAGAGCUUGGAGAUGGAAGAGAUGGGGUUGGAGAUGGAAGGGAUGAUGGUUUACAAGUGAGAGAGAGAGAGAGAGAGAGAGAGAGAGAGAGAGAGAAGGAAGAGAGAAAUCUGGAAAAUUUCGAGGUCCCCUUCUUCUAUGUCGAGAGGGUGUAUUUAUAGGGGGAUCUACAAUGAAAGUGC
rnacentral:lncRNA from 1 species